AAUACGCCUCGAGAUCACGAUACAGACAUAACACAUUUUUUUUGUGCGAAUUUAUUCAUUGGUGAGUACACCCGCUUAUCAUUAUUAUAAUAUACUCACGAGACCGAGUAUACAUAUUACGUAUAGUUUAUACAUUUUCUAGUCUGUUACAAAUUUAUGUUAUUGUGUGUUUUUUAUUAUUGUUUGCAGUCUUCACUUCGUUUCACGAAAACCAAAACCAAAUAUCAAAAAUGGGCGCUGAAAAGAUAUCCAUGAACGUCGUUGUCGUCGGACAAGUCCAAUCUGCCAAAGCCCCCAAAACCGUCGCCAUGGCCGCCCCAGCCACCAGCCAAUUGAUGGUGAGCGUACUAUUUUAAUAUCCGUACUUAUUAUUGUUAUAGUUAUUACCCACUUGUUAAACUGUUUCAUAUGAGGCGAUGCAAUUGUGUUUUAUAAACAAUUUUUUUCUUCAUAAAAUAUUAACAAAAACUUCCAGAUUAAAACUUUUCGGCGAUAAAAUGAUUAGUCUAGAUGUAUAUUAAUUUUUCCUCUGGAAAACACAAUGUGUACUAUUUUUUUUUCCGACCCGUCAUCAAAAUCUAUUGUUUGAAUAAAUUGUUUUUUUUUAUUUUAUUUUUUUUUAUUACCGAUCCAUCAUGCAUUUUAUAGUGAAUAUUUUAAUUAAGAAAAUAUUUUAAUACACUUCGUUACUGAAGACAAUUCUUAAACUCUAUAAUUCUUUGAUAAAAUAAUAUAUUACUCGAACGAAAAUAAAUUAUACAUAUCAAAAUUAUUGUAAUUAUUUGUUUGCACAUUCAGGGUGUUUCAAGUAAAUAUCGCAAACGCAAUAAAUUUCGUACUGUUCAGUAUUCCCGUGUUUUAAUUUGUUUUUUUUAAGAAUUUAUUGCGAUACCUAUAGUUUGUGUAUUUUAUAAUUUUAAAAACUAAAAAUAAAAAAAAAAAUUAUUUUUUACAAAAUUGGAAAUAGCGAUUUUAUAAAUGUAUAAUAUUUGAAAAAAAAAAUGUUUAUGUUCUAUAUGUUUACUAAUGAUAAUACGUUAACUGUCUACAAUCUUUUGAAGUCCACGAUAAUUUAAUUUGUUUCAUUACCGCUACUGAAUAACACAAAUCAGUUUACCAUUUAUUCAUAAAAAAUAAUUUCUAUAAAAAUCAAACAAUUUUAGAAACUUUUUAUCAUAAGUAAAUAUUUGUAACAACAAAAUUUUGUUUAAAAAUAUACUUGUAAAAUAAAUAUGUAUAUAUAAAAUGCGAAUUAAAAAUGUCUAUUAUUAGUUUAAAAAAAAAAAACACAUUAAAUUGAGGGAUCCUAUAGUGCAAGACACUAGUAAUUAUUAAGAGAAAAGAAAAAUUCAAAAAUAGUUUACAGAACAAAAGUUAUUACAUUUAUCAUAUCUCCGUGAUACAUCCUGUGAAGUAACUUCAGUCGUUUAAGAACAUUGUACUUACCUACAUUUACCUCAUACAUAUAUUUAUUUAAUUUUUAUUGUUUUUUUUUUUUUCAGUCCUGUUAAAAUCACCUAAUCCACACAUUGCAAACUCAAAAAUGACAUAGCCCAAACAAUAUUAUGUAAUUAUUUAUUAAUAACAUGUAUUGACACUUCGAAAUAAACCAGUUUUAUCCGUUUACGAUGAAUUUU